UAUAAUACCUGGUGGGCCCGUCUCUAGUCAAAAUGCCCGGGCUGAUUUUUUUGUCCCAGUCCAGCCCUGAUCAUCAUCAUCAACAUCUGAUAGCAUGUUAACAGAUUAACAGAGAAAGCGGGUAACCACUGUUGUGUAGCCUUUAUAGAUGUCCAGGCAUCUAAUGCAAAGAAAGCCUGUGUUAAACAUUAUUUAGGUCUGGUGCACUAGGUGUAAGCUAUUAUUGGAUAACAUGUUAGCCUUAGCAGCUAUAUGUAAGUCUUUACAGCGUUUUGGAAACAAGAAUAUUUAUAUUGGUGUUUUUCCUGUUGAGAAUGUUUUUACUUAAAAGUACUCAGAUAUUUUCUUCUUUUUUCCAGUUUCUAAAGACAGUGGCACUUCCAGGAUGUUCUGCCUGUGGAUAUGUUUGAGUGUGUUUUGUGCUUUACCAAGCACUGUAUCAUCAGAUCAAGGCGUGUCACUGACGUGCAACGAGACUGUCAACAUUACCGCUGGAGAAAAUGUGGUUCUAACCUGUUUCAUAAAUUGGAUUUUAGAAGGAGAAGACUGUGUUGGUCACAGUUAUGUCUGGCGUAACACAAAUGGCACCAAACUCUGUGACAAUGGCGUAAAAUACGGCUGUAAAUGGAAUAAUUAUACCUAUGUGUCACUGACCAUCUUAGAUGUGAUAGAAAAGGACGUUGUCACAGUUGAAAUCUCGACAACCUGCGGUAUGGAGAAAUCCCGUCCUAUCAGACUACAGCCAAUCAGCGGUGAACCAGCUGUAUCAGAUCGGUUGCAGGAGGAGUCAGCACAUGCUGCAACCACUGUGCUUUGUGUUUUUGCCUCUGCUGCUGUUGUUGUGGUCAUUUUGUGUUUCCUGUAUAGAAAAUACAUGCAGAGUGAGAGGAGAGUGACACAGACUGCACCAGGGAGUACAGACUGACAAAUUCAGAUUGUUUUUAUCAGUGAACGGGUGGAUAUGAAUGUAUAAGCUGUUUAUGAAAGCUAGUCCUCACCAUCGAUGACUCUGCUCCUGAACCGUCCUGUUGUCAUCAUUUUUUUUUUAUCAUCCGUUUCAUUUUUAGGCUUUCAGAAAAUUCUUUCUUGUGUUUAUGCUGACUGAGCAACAUUCACAUGAGGAUUUUAUGUGAUUAAAAGAGCUCUGUCAUAUAGUUAAAAGAGGAAAAUGAUGAUGAGCCAGCAUUGAUGUAGAUGUUGCACUGUGCAGUAGACUCUAUGUUGGGAUUUUAUUUAACUUUCUGCCUUUAGUCUCUUAUGUCUAAACACUGGCUCGGUGUUCUUGCUUCUCUGCUUCUAAAUUAGGUUUAAUUGCAUUUGCAAGAAACUUUUUUUUUCUUUUAAGUUCUUCCUUUUUGCACAGUGUUGACAUGAAUUUAUUUCCAUUUAUAAUUCUUCACUUAGACCAUUUUAAAAUAUUCACUUAUAUGAUUUUGAUUCAGCGUGGACCUUCACAUAUUUAAUUCUGGCUCAGCGAAGCAUGAACCAUGGAACGGUGAAGUUUAGUAGGUCAUUCUUACUUUUAACCACUUGGGAAAGCUGUCUGUAUUUGAACAGCCUGUGGCUCUGAAACUGAUAACCUGAACCUGUGGAUACUGAAGGAAUUUGAGGAGUUUAAUGAUUCAGAAUCUUAGUAGUCUAAUAUGAGAGUAUCGGGACCACCAGAAGAGUAGGGUCUCAGACCUCAAAGUUUGCAGGUGACACUAUUGUGUUUGGAGUCAUUGCUGACAGGAAUAAAUCAGCUUAUAGGUGUUAGGUGGAGCAGCUGACCAGGUGGUGCAAGGACAACAACUCGGUCUUGUCCUCGGACAGAUGAUUCAAGCCUAUGAAACAAGGAUCAACCUGUGAAAGAACAGGUUACAUCCUGAAGCAAUUAUGUCAGUUAAUGCUGAGCAAAGCAACAGAAAGGGAAUGUGCAAUAUGCUGAAAGACAAGUGCGCGUGACUGUUUCACUUACUAUCAAAAAGAAAGGUUAUGUUUUUGUGUGCAUGCAGGCGUGUUAUCUCUCUUUAUCUGACAAAAACUUUGUAGGUGUGUCGAGCUGGGUCAUGUUAAUGAUUUGGCUUAGAAUUUGGCUUACAUCCAGCAAGAUCUUCAAGGUAAACUUUAAUGAUUUAUAGAUUGAAAAUUUACAAAAAGAUUUUUAACUUAGAAACUAUCAUUCUUUUAAGUGUGAUGUAAAUUGGUAACAUAUAGAAAGUACUGUACAAAGAUGUAAAAUAUCAGGUCACAUUUGCCCCUCCAUGAGUCUCUGUUUUACCAUGGUGCAGAGGUUUGUGUGUGCCAGGGGCUAGCUUUAGUUUAAACUGAAUUGUUUUGUGCUGUGAUUCUAUAUCUAUUUAUACUCUCGUUAGUUUUCCUUAUUUUGUGCUCGUAUUUCCCGCACUGAAUACUCUCGCCUUUGUUAUCCUUCACACAUUUUGAAUUACCGCUCAUUGCCAGAUGUGUUUCUUGUAGUGAAGUAUUUUGGGGGCGAUUUUUAGUUCUUUCUCUUGUCGCUCCUUAUGUUGACUUCCUCCUGUGCAACCUUUUGAAGUGUUUUUAGAUUUUGGCUUUUUUGGCUGUUUAUUUUGAUGCCUUUACAUGAAUAACCACUGCCUCUUUUGGAAAUACAGAUUUUUAUUGUUGGACUUUAAGUCUGUGGACUUCUUUAGACUACUCCUGCUACCACUGCUACAAAAAUAACUAAAACAUUUUUUUGUAAUUAAUCCCAACAUUUAUAGCUUUUUUAUUUAAAAUAAAUAAUCAGUAGCAACUUUUCAUUCAUCUUACUUUGUUUAUUCUCAUAUGAACUGUCCCAAGAGUCGAUUUGAACGUUAAUGUUUACAAACAGAGAGUACCAAAAACAACUGUUGUCCUCGGGCACCUUUCAUAAUGGACACAAGAGGCCAGUUUUGUUUGGAAAACUGAAAUAAUUUUUAUUUCAUCAAUGUUUUAUGUUGUAAUCUCAAAGUAGUUCAUCUAGACUUCAUGUUGAGCAACAUGUGUGCCUCUUACAUUCCCUUCAUCUCAGCAAAUCAGUUAUUUUAACUCUGACAGGUGUCCUGUAUCAACUGGAUACAUUUUAUUUAUAUAUAUUUUUGUAAGUCAUUCUCAGAUGCUCUCCAAAGAGUUAAGUUCUCAGCUAAAUGAGUGUUAGUCCUUCUGCAAUGGAUGUUAUAAAUUGCUUCUUUUUCUGAGGAUAACUGAAUCAUGUGCUUGGUUUUACAAGAGUGAUGGAGAGCUGUUUAUCCAAAAAAUAUUGUUGUCUUUUUUAACAAUACAUGUACGUGAUCUACCAAGGAGUAGAUACUCCAUAAUCUGGUCCCCCUUUCACAGCUUGAUGAUACCAUCUUCUUUUGGCUAAAUCAGUAACUAUUUGCAGGGUAUCGACAUUUAGGGAAGUGUCAUGGUUCUGGGUCAUUUUGACCUAGCAUUUUCAGUUUCUUGUAUUUUUGUGUUUUUUUCUGUAUUAUGGUUUGUUUUCAGAGUCUUUAGUUGUCCUGUUUUGAACGUUAUAAUCCUAAGUUUGAGUGUUAUUGUAGUUAAGAGUUUUGUUCUAAGGUCUAGUUCAGUGUCUAGUCUGUGCCUGUCAUGUUUCCUGUUUUACUUUGAAGGUCCGUAUCUCAUGUUAGUGUGUCCAGUGUUACUCUCCCCUGUGUUGUCAUUGUUUCAUUCGAGUCAGCUGUGUCCUCAUGUGUCUUCACUUCUCCUGCUCACGUCAUGUGUCUAUUUAAGCUCUCCAUCUCCCUUUGUUCAUUAUCACGUCGUCUGUGUUACCUGCCACCACGUUGUCACAGUCAGAAUUGUCGCAGUCAUUGUCGUUUAUAGUAGAGUCUUAGUUUCUCCAGUUUAGCUUCUAGUUUAGUUAGUCACUGUCCCUGCUGUUUUGUCAUGCCACCUUGUUUCAGCCAUAAUAAAUGCUGGCCUUUUGUUUAUCUCAGUUUCUCGUCCUCUGUGUCCUGCUUUUGGG